UACGGGGGGGGCAAGCGUUGUUCGGAAUUACUGGGCGUAAAGGGCUCGUAGGCGGCCAACUAAGUCGGAUGUGAAAUCCCCAGGCUCAACCUGGGAACUGCAUCCGAUACUGGAUGGCUUGAAUUCGGGAGAGGGAUGCAGAAUUCCAGGUGUAGCGGUGAAAUGCGUAGAUAUCUGGAGGAAUACCGGUGGCGAAGGCGGCAUCCUGGACCGACAUUGACGCUGAGGAGCGAAAGCCAGGGGAGCAAACAGG
rnacentral:rRNA from 1 species